rnacentral:rRNA from 1 species
CCUACGGGAGGCAGCAGUGGGGAAUCUUGCGCAAUGGGGGCAACCCUGACGCAGCCAUGCCGCGUGAAUGAUGAAGGCCUUAGGGUUGUAAAGUUCUUUUGCCCGUGACGAUGAUGACGGUAACGGGAGAAUAAGCUCCGGCUAACUUCGUGCCAGCAGCCGCGGUAAUACGAAGGGGGCUAGCGUUGUUCGGAAUUACUGGGCGUAAAGCGCGCGCAGGCGGUUCGAUAAGUUAGGGGUGAAAUCCCUGGGCUCAACCCAGGAAUGGCCUUUAAGACUGUCGAGCUAGAGGACGAGAGAGGUGAGUGGAAUUCCCAGUGUAGAGGUGAAAUUCGUAGAUAUUGGGAAGAACACCGGUGGCGAAGGCGGCUCACUGGCUCGUUUCUGACGCUGAGGCGCGAAAGCGUGGGGAGCAAACAGGAUUAGAUACCCUGGUAGUCCACGCCCUAAACGAUGAGUGCCAGGUGUCGGGAAGCUUAGCUUCUCGGCGCCGCAGCUAACGCCUUAAGCACUCCGCCUGGGGAGUACGGCCGCAAGGUUAAAACUCAAAGGAAUUGACGG